UACGGGGGGGGCAAGCGUUGUUCGGAAUUACUGGGCGUAAAGGGCUCGUAGGCGGCCAACUAAGUCGGAUGUGAAAUCCCCAGGCUUAACCUGGGAACUGCAUCCGAUACUGGAUGGCUUGAAUCCGGGAGAGGGAUGCAGAAUUCCAGGUGUAGCGGUGAAAUGCGUAGAUAUCUGGAGGAAUACCGGUGGCGAAAGCGGCAUCCUGGACCGGCAUUGACGCUGAGUGAGCGAAAGCCAGGGGAGCAAACGGG
rnacentral:rRNA from 1 species